UACGUAGGUUGCGAGCGUUGUCCGGAUUUACUGGGCGUAAAGAGCGCGCAGGCGGUCGUUCAAGUCGCGUGUGAAAGCCCCCGGCUCAACUGGGGAGGGUCACGCGAUACUGAUCGACUCGAAGGCAGGAGAGGGUAGUGGAAUUCCCGGUGUAGUGGUGAAAUGCGUAGAUAUCGGGAGGAACACCAGUGGCGAAGGCGACUACCUGGCCUGUUCUUGACGCUGAGGCGCGAAAGCUAGGGGAGCAAACGGG
rnacentral:rRNA from 1 species